rnacentral:lncRNA from 10 species
GCGGCUGCAACGGAGCGCUGAGCCCGAGCCUGGAGCCGCCUCGCAGUGAGGAGGGGGCGGAGGAGAGGGCGUCGGGCUCAGCGCUGCCCUGACUGGCCUGGGGAAGUCCGGGCACCACUCAGCCUCCCCGGCCUGAGCCCCUUGCUCUAACGUGGAACGAUACCUGCAGCUUUCUAAGAGUCCAGCAAUGGGGCGCUUGUGGCGCUUCCGCCACAGUGAACGCUCAGCGUGCGCCCCGUGGGUGUGACUUGUGCCAGGGCACGGGUGGCCAGGCGAGGCUGUCGGGCCACGCGGGUACCCAGCAGGGAGCCACGGGAGCGCAGGCCAGAAGCAAGCAGGCAGCGCAGCUGGGUCUCCACAGGUGCGCCCGCUGGGGAGCCAAGUACUAUGAUUCCCACAACCAAGCUCCCAGGGAGCAUGGGCAGAAUGGCGGGAUGAGGCGAGACUGGGAGACGCGGAAGACCCUGCAGGCCCAGGGCACGGACCGGAGCAGCCAGCGGGGGCAGGGUGGAGAGCUGAGCCCAUGUGGGAAAAUCACAGCGAAGGAGAAUAAAGGGAGAGGCGCCGUCAGGAGGGCGGGACCCCGAGUGGCAGUGGACAGAGAUAAUACAGUCAUAAGAAUAACGUGCGUCUAGGAUGCAGAGACUGACAAUGCAAGCAAAGAGCAAACACUCAAGAUAAAACCCAGGAAAUCCUGAAAUGAAUCUUAAGACAAAAGGGGGAAAAAUCCCAGAAAACAAAGGGCAUGAACAACAGGCAUCAGACACAAUUCGCUGAAGUUAAGCCUCAAAACAAAAUGUUUUUCAAGCACCCGAGGAGAAAGAGCAAAGCACCUAUGACAGGAAAGUCCGGCUCUCCUGAGGCUUUUUUCUUUUUGAGACAGGGUCUCACUCUGUCACCCAGGAUGCAGCACAGUGGCACAAUCUCUGCUCACUGCUGCUUCCACUUCCCCGGUUCCGGCAAUCCUCCCACCUCAGCCUCCGAGUAGCUGGGACCACAGGCACACGCCUGUGCACCACGGCCACCUCCGAAGGCUUUUUACAGAAACACUAAAUGUUAGAAGAAAAUGAAGCAGUGUCCACAAAAUUCUGCAGGGAAAACAGUAGGCCAGGAAGAGUAUUUGGUUCUGCAGCACAGAUGGCAGGGCAGGAGGUGCAGCCUUCCCAGUGACAGCAAGAGAGAAGACAGACGAAAUCAAAGUGUUUUUUAAACAAGUGUCUGACGGCAUUCAAAGCUACUGAGGAAAUGAAGAACGAGGUCUCCAAAACAGUGCAGCAGGGUGGUCCCAACACCAGGCAGGUGGGCCUGGCCUGGCCCAGAGCAAAGGGUCAGCUGCUCAGCAGAGGACGGGCCAAGGGACAGACCUGCAUUUAGAGCACUGGAAAAUGAUGGUUUUGGGGAAUGCCUAGGUCAUUGUCAGCUUAAUCAGAAGGUGACUCCCCUUGCAGCUGCUGUUCCAAGUGUGUUCUCCUUAAUGAAACAAAUCAAUACAAUUUACCACCUGUUAUGCAGUGACUGAUCUGGUAAAUAUUUUUUCCUUCCUCAAUCAACAUUCACCAGAAGCAAGUUGCCCCUCCAUGGAAGUGGCAUCAGCGUAUCUUCCCAUCUUGUCAUGUCCACAGGGAGCUUGGUGGUCUCAGCACCCCUGAGAUGAUCUUGACAGUGCAGUAUGCUGAUGAGGGCACAGGGAUAGGA